AUGGGCCGUUGGAUCCGUUUGUUUUUCAUUGUAGCCGCUUUAGAAGGUGUCCGGUCCCAGGUCCAGCUAGUGGAGUCCGGAGGGGAUGAGAAAAAGCCCGGAGACUCUCUCCGCCUCUCCUGCAAAGCCUCCGGGUUCACCUUCAGCAGCGCCUACAUGGAUUGGGUCCGACAGGCUCCCGGGAAGGGGCUGGAGUGGGUGGCUGAGAUUAGGCCCGAUGGAUCGAGUCAAUCGUAUUCCCCAGCUGUGAAAGGCCGAUUCACCAUCUCCAGGGACAAUUCCAAGAGUGAGCUGUAUCUGCAAAUGACCGGCCUGAAGCCCGAGGACACCGCUCGCUAUUACUGUGGCAGACACUAUUCACACACAGAGAGACUAAAACUGUCGAUGCUAAUACAAAAACCAGAGCUGUGGAACUUCCCGCGCCUGCCGCAUGGGGGCAGCAAUGACACAAGCAAAACUCUCCUGUCUUGGGCACAAGAGAGCGAAGGGCCUCAGGACUGA